rnacentral:rRNA from 1 species
AUUGAACGCUGGCGGCAUGCCUUACACAUGCAAGUCGAACGGCAGCACGGGAGCAAUCCUGGUGGCGAGUGGCGAACGGGUGAGUAAUAUAUCGGAACGUGCCCAGUCGUGGGGGAUAACGUAGCGAAAGCUACGCUAAUACCGCAUACGAUCUAUGGAUGAAAGCGGGGGAUCGCAAGACCUCGCGCGAUUGGAGCGGCCGAUAUCAGAUUAGGUAGUUGGUGAGGUAAAGGCGUCACCAAGCCGACGAUCUGUAGCUGGUCUGAGAGGACGACCAGCCACACUGGGACUGAGACACGGCCCAGACUCCUACGGGAGGCAGCAGUGGGGAAUUUUGGACAAUGGCGCAAGCCUGAUCCAGCAAUGCCGCGUGCA